rnacentral:rRNA from 1 species
CCUCGGGUUGCUGUAGUGGGGAAUAUUGCACAAUGGAGGAAACUCUGAUGCAGCAACGCCGCGUGGAGGAUGACACUUUUCGGAGCGUAAACUCCUUUUAUAUAGGAAGAAGAUGACGGUACUAUAUGAAUAAGCGCCGGCUAACUCCGUGCCAGCAGCCGCGGUAAUACGGAGGGCGCAAGCGUUACUCGGAAUCACUGGGCGUAAAGAGCGUGUAGGCGGAUUAAAAAGUCAGAAGUGAAAUCCUAUAGCUUAACUAUAGAACUGCUUCUGAAACUCUUAAUCUAGAAUAUGGGAGAGGUAGAUGGAAUUUCUGGUGUAGGGGUAAAAUCCGUAGAGAUCAGAAGGAAUACCGAUUGCGAAGGCGAUCUACUAGAACAUUAUUGACGCUGAGACGCGAAAGCGUGGGGAGCAAACAGGAUUAGAUACCCCCGUAGUC